rnacentral:lncRNA from 1 species
GUUAGACCGGGAGAUCGCUUUUUUCUUCACUUUUUUGUUUUGUUGAGGAGGUUUUGAACAGGGACAUCUUAGAGCUAAUUUCUAAAAGCUUUAUGCUUCCCAUGGUUAGUCUUUGAGAGAUACAAUUUUGAUGGCAAUAUUCCUAAAUAUGUUAGGCCAAAGCUAGAAGGAUGCAAUGGAGACGGUCCCAUGAAGAUAUAUGGUGCGAAAAUGUGGUGGAUCAUCAAGGAUAGAGGCCGAAAAUGCUAAAGCUAUGUGUUUGUAAGGCUAGAAGCUCACGACCAUAUGGUGGUGGUGUGGUGUUUGAAGGCUUAAAAGAGGUUAGAUCAAUUUUAAGAGGAAGGUGACUAGAGGAGUCUCAUGGGUUGCUCUAGUCUUAAUCUUAAGAUGAGUAGUAUGGCAAAAAAUGAGCAGCAUAACUUUACUCAACAUCAAAGAUGAAUACAUGACAGGAGACACCUCUAUGUAUAGGUUAAGGGUGUCUCCUAAAAACCCUAAAAGCAUGAUCUCUCAUCUUUACACUCAUUGGAAAAAAAAAUGAGGCCUUCUAAGGAGUGGACAAGUGUCAACAAAUCCUCUUCAAUGAGGGGAGGACAUGUGGCCACUCAUAAAAUACAAUCCUCUUCAUUCCUAGAGUGCCAAGUGGCCACUACUAAAAGAAAAUCCUCUCCAAUGGAAG